GUCCACGCCGUAAACGAUGAGAACUAGGUGUUGCGGGUAUUGACCCCUGCAGUGCCGCAGCUAACGCAUUAAGUUCUCCGCCUGGGAAGUACGGUCGCAAGACUAAAACUCAAAGGAAUUGACGGGGGCCAGCACAAGCGGUGGAGCAUGUGGUUUAAUUCGACGCAACGCGCAGAACCUUACCUGGUCUUGACAUCUACGGAACCCUCCCGAAAAGGAGGGGUGCCUUUCGGGGAGCCGUAAGACAGGUGCUGCAUGGCUGUCGU
rnacentral:rRNA from 1 species